rnacentral:rRNA from 1 species
UACGGAGGAUCCGAGCGUUAUCCGGAUUUAUUGGGUUUAAAGGGUGCGUAGGCGGCGCGACAAGUUGGGUGUGAAAUCCCUCGGCUCAACCGAGGAACUGCGCCCAAAACUGUCGUGCUCGAGGGAGACAGAGGUGAGCGGAACUUAGGGUGGAGCGGUGAAAUGCGUUGAUAUCCUAAGGAACACCGGUGGCGAAAGCGGCUCACUGGGUCUCUUCUGACGCUGAGGCACGAAAGCUAGGGUAGCGAACGGG